rnacentral:rRNA from 1 species
GAUUAACGCUGGCGGCGUGCAUAACACAUGCAAGUCGAACGAUGAAACUUAACUGAUUUCUUCGGAAUGAUUUUAAGUGGAUUAGUGGCGGACGGGUGAGUAACGCGUGAGUAACCUGCCUUGGAGAAGGGGAUAGCCUUUGGAAACGAAGAAUAAUACCCUAUGAUAUGAUAAUAUCUCAUGAUAUUAUCAUCAAAGAUUUAUCGCUCUAAGAUGGACUUGCGUCUGAUUAGUUAGUUGGUGAGGUAACAGCUCACCAAGGCAGCGAUCAGUAGCCGGCUUGAGAGAGUGUACGGCCACAUUGGGACUGAGACACGGCCCAGACUCCUACGGGAGGCAGCAGUGGGGAAUUUUGCACAAUGGGGGAAACCCUGAUGCAGCGACGCCGCGUGAUUUAGAAGGCCUUCGGGUUGUAAAAAUCUUUUGGAUGGGAAGAAAAGGACAGUACCAUACGAAUAAGGACCGGCUAAUUACGU